CUCUUGUGAGGUCUCAGCUCGUGAGCUAGUGGAAACUGCUAGUCAAGUUGCUAGUAGACCCUAUUUUAAACGCGGGCCAGUCACCAGAUGCAGCCGUAAUCCGCAUGCUGUAUGCUCACCUAAAGGGAGAGGGUAUCGCUUCCCGCCCCCCGCCCCCCGCCCCGGGAGAGUAUAGGCACGACCAAGGCCACCAUGAAAAACCAGGACUUGGUGUUGCUGAGGCUGAAAGUGGGAAUUAAAUAGAUAACCCUUUUUCAGUGGAUAUUGCAGGUACUAUGUGGUAAUAUAAUAAGGGUUUGUUUUAUCAAUUAUAAAGGUUAAUGUAAUGUAUUGGUUGAGUUGUUAAUAAAACUCUCAAUCAUAAUUAAUUAGGAUUUUGAGGUUGAUCUUUGUACUAGUACUCAUAUCAUAAUGUGUCUAAGUAUGUGGCUUUCUAUCUUUAUAUAUGUUUGAAAUCUAUCCUAGCAAUUUCUAUCUUUA